rnacentral:lncRNA from 1 species
UCCAGAGUCUGUACUGCUGACAUAUUUUUCUUAAUAUGUUCAAAUUUCUUUCUUUAUUUUGUAUUUUUAAAAGUAUUCUGUUUUCUUUCAGCUAUUUUCAGCUAAAGUGAUGGGUGAUCCAUUUCUUGUGGGGGAGACAGGCCUGCAUGCGCUCAAAUCUGCAGCAGACCAAGGACAGAACCAAAGCCAAGAUUCCCAAAUGCUGCUCCUGGAGAUGUUUUCCAAACUUUUGGAACUCUUGACCCUCCGGCAUAGGCUGAUAGAGAUGAGUCUGGAGAGUGUACACUUGGCACGUAUCCUAUUGGGUAUAAAGACUGACCCUCAUCAAGCACCUAAUGAUACUGAGUGCUCAAAUAUAAUGAAGUUGAAUAGCAGAGAAGAACCAGUGGAGGGCCUUCAGAAAGGAAAGAAUGAGUCAGUGAUAGCAUCCAGGUCUGGUGGACGUAUGAAAUGUUCAACAGUCUCUAUAAGGAUUUGGCGUGUGAGAUGGGUUUUGAGGAGUUCCAUUUGUAUCUGA